GUGCCAGCCGCCGCGGUAAUACGGAGGAUCCGAGCGUUAUCCGGAUUUAUUGGGUUUAAAGGGUGCGUAGGUGGUUUGAUAAGUCAGCGGUGAAAGUUUGCAGCUUAACUGUAAAAAUGCCGUUGAAACUCUCGGACUUGAGUGUAAAUGAGGUAGGCGGAAUGCGUGGUGUAGCGGUGAAAUGCAUAGAUAUCACGCAGAACUCCGAUUGCGAAGGCAGCUUACUAAGCUACAACUGACACUGAAGCACGAAAGCGUGGGGAUCAAACAGGAUUAGAUACCCUGGUAGUCCACGCAGUAAACGAUGAUUACUAGCUGUUUGCGAUACACAGUAAGCGGCACAGCGAAAGCGUUAAGUAAUCCACCUGGGGAGUACGCCGGCAACGGUGAAACUCAAAGGAAUUGACGGGGGCCCGCACAAGCGGAGGAACAUGUGGUUUAAUUCGAUGAUACGCGAGGAACCUUACCCGGGCUUGAAAUGUACCUGACCGUCCUUGAAAAGGGACUUCUAGCAAUAGCAGGUAUGUAGGUGCUGCAUGGUUGUCGUCAGCUCGUGCCGUGAGGUGUCGGCUUAAGUGCCAUAACGAGCGCAACCCACAUUAUUAGUUACUAACAGGUUAAGCUGAGGACUCUAAUAAGACUGCCGUCGUAAGAUGCGAGGAAGGUGUGGAUGACGUCAAAUCAGCACGGCCCUUACGUCCGGGGCGACACACGUGUUACAAUGGGAGGUACAAAGGGCUGCUACCUGGUGACAGGAUGCUAAUCCCCAAAGCCUCUCCCAGUUCGGAUCGGAGUCUGCAACUCGACUCCGUGAAGCUGGAUUCGCUAGUAAUCGCGCAUCAGCCAUGGCGCGGUGAAUACGUUCCCGGGCCUUGUACACACCGCCCGUCAAGCCAUGGGAGCCGGGGGUAUCUGAAGUGCGUAACCGCAAGGAGCGUCCUAGGGUAAAACUGGUGACUGGGGCUAAGUCGUAACAAGGUAACC
rnacentral:rRNA from 1 species